rnacentral:tRNA from 1 species
GCCCGGUGUAGCUCAAUCGGAUAGAGCGCGUAAUAUGCGAGCUGAUAAGUUCGCUGACAGCAAAUUUCUUUUAGAUUUGUAAUCUCGAGGUUGUCGGUUCGAAUCCGGCCUCCGGGCA